rnacentral:rRNA from 1 species
UUUGGUUAAGUUAGAAAGGGCGCACGGUGGAUGCCUUGACACUAGGAGUCGAUGAAGGACGGGACUAACGCCGAUAUGCUUCGGGAAGCUGUAAGUAAGCUUUGAUCCGAAGAUUUCCGAAUGGGGAAACCCACCAUACGUAAUGGUAUGGUAUCCUUAUCUGAAUACAUAGGGUAAGGAAGACAGACCCAGGGAACUGAAACAUCUAAGUACCUGGAGGAAGAGAAAGCAAAUGCGAUUUCCUGAGUAGCGGCGAGCGAAACGGAACAUAGCCCAAACCAAGAGGCUUGCCUCUUGGGUUGUAGGACAUUCUAUACGGAGUUACAAAGGAACGAGGUAGACGAAGCGACCUGGAAAGGUCCGUCGUAGAGGGUAACAACCCCGUAGUCGAAACUUCGUUCUCUCUUGAAUGUAUCCUGAGUACGGCGGAACACGUGAAAUUCCGUCGGAAUCUGGGAGGACCAUCUCCCAAGGCUAAAUACUCCCUAGUGAUCGAUAGUGAACCAGUACCGUGAGGGAAAGGUGAAAAGCACCCCGGAAGGGGAGUGAAAGAGAUCCUGAAACCGUGUGCCUACAAAUAGUCAGAGCCCGUUAACGGGUGAUGGCGUGCCUUUUGUAGAAUGAACCGGCGAGUUACGAUCCCGUGCGAGGUUAAGCUGAAGAGGCGGAGCCGCAGCGAAAGCGAGUCUGAAUAGGGCGUUUAGUACGUGGUCGUAGACCCGAAACCAGGUGAUCUACCCAUGUCCAGGGUGAAGUUCAGGUAACACUGAAUGGAGGCCCGAACCCACGCACGUUGAAAAGUGCGGGGAUGAGGUGUGGGUAGCGGAGAAAUUCCAAUCGAACCUGGAGAUAGCUGGUUCUCCCCGAAAUAGCUUUAGGGCUAGCCUUAAGUGUAAGAGUCUUGGAGGUAGAGCACUGAUUGGACUAGGGGUCCUCAUCGGAUUACCGAAUUCAGUCAAACUCCGAAUGCCAAUGACUUAUCCUUAGGAGUCAGACUGCGAGUGAUAAGAUCCGUAGUCAAAAGGGAAACAGCCCAGACCGCCAGCUAAGGUCCCAAAGUGUGUAUUAAGUGGAAAAGGAUGUUGGAGUUGCUUAGACAACUAGGAUGUUGGCUUAGAAGCAGCCACCAUUUAAAGAGUGCGUAAUAGCUCACUAGUCGAGUGACUCUGCGCCGAAAAUGUACCGGGGCUAAAUACACCACCGAAGCUGCGGAUUGAUACCGAAUGGUAUCAGUGGUAGGGAGCGUUCUAAGGACAGUGAAGUCAGACCGGAAGGACUGGUGGAGUGCUUAGAAGUGAGAAUGCCGGUAUGAGUAGCGAAAGACGGGUGAGAAUCCGUCCACCGAAUGCCUAAGGUUUCCUGAGGAAGGCUCGUCCGCUCAGGGUUAGUCAGGACCUAAGCCGAGGCCGACAGGCCGUAGGCGAUGGACAACAGGUUGAUAUUCCUGUACCACCUCUUUAUCGUUGAGCAAUGGAGGGACGCAGAAGGAUAGAAGAAGCGUGCGAUUGGUUGUGCACGU